CCUUCACCAGGUCAAGGAGCCGGCAUCAGACACUAACCCAAGUCCACAACGCCUAGUCUCACCACACCCCCAAGGGUCAUCAGCAGUGAUAAAUUUUGAGUAUAAGCGAUAGCUUGACUCAGUCAGAGAAAAGAGGGCCGGCCAACCCGGUGCCAGCUGCCGCGGCUACCCCGUGGGGCUCAAGUUGAAGAUCAUCGGCGUUAAGCGUGAUUAAAGUCCCAUUAGAUUAAGGCUAAAUUAAUGCUCAGUUGUUUAAAGCUCGCUAUUAAGAAAAACAAAAACGAAAGUUGCCCUAACCCACACUUGAAUUCACGACAGCUGGGGAACAAACUGGGAUCAGAUACCCCACUAUGCCCAGCCGUAAACAAUUAAUUUACAACUAUAAGCGCCAGGGAAUUACGAGCCAUGCUUAAAACCCAAAGGAUUUGACGGUGUCCCACCCCCCUAGAGGAGCCUGUUCUAUAAUCGAUGAUCCCCGCUACACCCGACCACUUCUUGCUCAUCAGUCUGUAUACCUCCGUCGAAAGCUUACCAUGUGAACGCCACCCACAGUAAGUUCAAUGAUCCACGUCAAUACGUCAGGUCAAGGUGCAGCUUAAGAAGUGGGAAGUGAUGGGCUACAAUUUCUAACCUAGAACAAACGAAAGACUAUGUGAAAUCAUGGUCCCGAAGGCGGAUUUAGUAGUAAAAAGAAAAUAGAGUGUUCUUUUUAACCUGGCUCUGGGACGCGUA
rnacentral:rRNA from 1 species